rnacentral:rRNA from 1 species
AGAGUUUGAUCCUGGCUCAGGAUGAACGCUAGCGACAGGCUUAACACAUGCAAGUCGAGGGGCGAGCGGGGGAGUGGCAACACUUCCGCCGGCGACCGGCGCACGGGUGAGUAACACGUAUGAAACCUGCCCGCAGCAGGGGGAUAAGCGGAAGAAAUUCCGUCUAAUACCGCGUAACAACCGACGGGGGCAUCCCUGUUGGUUCAAAGGAGCGAUCCGGCUGCGGAUGGUCAUGCGGCGCAUUAGCUAGUUGGCGGGGCAACGGCCCACCAAGGCGACGAUGCGUAGGGGUUCUGAGAGGAAGGUCCCCCACACUGGUACUGAGACACGGACCAGACUCCUACGGGAGGCAGCAGUGAGGAAUAUUGGUCAAUGGCCGAGAGGCUGAACCAGCCAAGUCGCGUGAGGGAUGACGGCCCUACGGGUUGUAAACCUCUUUUGCCGGGGAGCAAAGAGCGGGACGCGUCCCGCCUCGAGAGUACCCGGAGAAAAAGCAUCGGCUAACUCCGUG